rnacentral:rRNA from 1 species
CUACGGGGUGCAGCAGUGAGGAAUAUUGGACAAUGGUCGAAAGACUGAUCCAGCCAUGCCGCGUGCAGGAUGAAUGCCCUAUGGGUUGUAAACUGCUUUUAUACGGGAAGAACACCACCCACGUGUGGGUGACUGACGGUACCGUAAGAAUAAGGACCGGCUAACUCCGUGCCAGCAGCCGCGGUAAUACGGAGGGUCCAAGCGUUAUCCGGAAUCAUUGGGUUUAAAGGGUCCGUAGGCGGGCUAUUAAGUCAGAGGUGAAAGUUUGCAGCUCAACUGUAAAAUUGCCUUUGAUACUGGUAGUCUUGAGUUAUAGUGAAGUGGUUAGAAUAUGUGGUGUAGCGGUGAAAUGCAUAGAUAUCACAUAGAAUACCAAUUGCGAAGGCAGAUCACUAACUAUAUACUGACGCUGAUGGACGAAAGCGUGGGGAGCGAACGGGAUUAGAUACCCGAGUAGUC